rnacentral:rRNA from 1 species
GAUGAACGCUAGCUACAGGCUUAACACAUGCAAGUCGAGGGGCAGCACAAGGCAGCAAUGCUGAGGUGGCGACCGGCGCACGGGUGCGUAACGCGUAUCCAACCUUCCCGUUACUCAUGGAUAGCCUUCCGAAAGGGAGAUUAAUACAUGAUGGUGUUGAAAUUCCGCAUGUUAUUUCAACUAAAGAUUUAUCGGUAACGGAUGGGGAUGCGUGACAUUAGAUAGUAGGCGGGGUAACGGCCCACCUAGUCUACGAUGUCUAGGGGUUCUGAGAGGAAGGUCCCCCACACUGGAACUGAGACACGGUCCAGACUCCUACGGGAGGCAGCAGUNAGGAAUAUGGUCAAUGGUCUGACGACUGAACCAGCCAUGCCGCGUGAAGGUGACGGCCCUAAUGGGUCUUAAAAACUUCUUUUUGCAAGGGAGCAAA